AAUGCUGCACCAGAUUUUUUGUGUAUUAACCCAAACAAUCAGCAGAUCUCCUCUUUGGUGUGCUUGCAGGCUCUUCAGUUUGCCGGUAUGCAGUCCAGUCGCCUACAUCUACGAUUGCAGGUACACAAGACGGUGCUUGGUCAUCACGCUCACCACAGUGUAGCCACUUCCCAUGUGUCACAUCCAACACCAUGAACUGUCUUCCCUGUGCUGCACCUUUUAACUCUGCGACUUACUCAUUCCAUAACUGGAAGUCUGUAGCUCCUACUUAGGGUGAAUACUUCCUGAAAAACGCCAGAUACAGGAAAAGCUUU
rnacentral:lncRNA from 1 species